rnacentral:rRNA from 1 species
AUGAACGCUGGCGGCGUGCCUAAUACAUGCCGGUCGAGCGAACAGACGAGGAGCUUGCUCCUCUGACGUUAGCGGCGGACGGGUGAGUAACACGUGGAUAACCUACCUAUAAGACUGGGAUAACUUCGGGAAACCGGAGCUAAUACCGGAUAAUAUAUUGAACCGCAUGGUUCAAUAGUGAAAGACGGUUUUGCUGUCACUUAUAGAUGGAUCCGCGCCGCAUUAGCUAGUUGGUAAGGUAACGGCUUACCAAGGCAACGAUGCGUAACCGACCUGAGAGGGUGAUCGGCCACACUGGAACUGAGACACGGUCCAGACUCCUACGGGAGGCAGCAGUAGGGAAUCUUCCGCAAUGGGCGAAAGCUUUACGGAGCAACGCCGCGUGAGUGAUGAAGGUCUUCGGAUCGUAAAACUCUGUUAUUAGGGAAGAACAAAUGUGUAAGUAACUAUGCACGUCUUGACGGUACCUAAUCAGAAAGCCACGGCUAACUACGUG